rnacentral:tRNA from 1 species
GAGGGUAUAGCUUAGUGGUAGAACACACGCCUAGCAAGCACAAGGUCCUGGGUUCAAUCCCCAGUACCUCCA